GUGAAUGUCAGAAUAGUUCUGGGCCUCCGUCUGCUCCACAGAGCUGUGUCUACACUCUCCCCAAGAACAAUGUAGACUCCUCUGAUGCUGGGACUUACUACUGUGCCCUGGCAGCAUGUGGGGAAGUUGUGUUUGGAAAUGGAACCAAACUGGAAAUAACAGAUCCCAACUGUCAUCUAGUGAUCUUGGUGCAUCGGAUUCUGUUGGCUUGCUUUCUGCUUGUGAUUCUAAUCCUCAUUCUCAUCAUACAUUACAGGACGGUGAAACCAAAACCUAUGCAGAGCUAGAGUUCUCUGGCAGAAAAACCAAAGGAGGGCAGAAGAACAGUGAAAGGACUCAGGAGAGCCUGUAUUCUGCUGUGCGAGAAACCUGCCCCUGAAGUCUAUCAAACAGGUCCAAAUCUAGUUUGAUUUCCUCAAUAUUGUGACCUGGAUGUGAAUUACAUUUCUAAAGAUGUACAAAGUAUAAGCUUAAAGUUAGAUUAGAUAAGUUAGGGUAAAUAGUAUGAAUAUGAGAGGAGCUUUUUUUCAUAGGCAUGUCGUAUUAACUGCCACUUAACACUGGGGGUUUUAAAUGCUUGGGUUUGUGUGGCUGCACUGACAAGUGUGGUAUAUUUGUGUGGCUGUGGCGAUGUUCAUGAUGUUUCAUUCAUUAUUAGUUAUUUGAUACUCUCAAAAUGUUGUUAAUAAAGGAAUUGAAUGAAUUUAUAAAUAUGUUUAUGUUGUAUAUUCAAAUUCAAAUUCAAAGUUUUAUUGGUCA